CAAUAAACCAGCGGCUGCGGAGCAGGCAGCCGUGUUCACGCAGCGGAGCGGCGGGCUCGGGAGCCAUCGGGAGCCGGCGCUUGCGCAGAGAUCGGUAGCCCGUCCCGGAGGACAACUACCAGCGGCGUGCUUAGGGCUCUCCUCCCCGGAGAAUUUGUGCAGGCUGGUUACAAAUUUGGACUCAUGUCGUUAUGAUAAAUUGCAGGCUGGUGUGAGUUCAUCUUUUCCCUGCAGGACCACGGCACCUCACUACUUUGCUUUUAUUCAUUAUUAAAAAAUAUAACAUGCCAGUGGGAGAAAGUCUGCUGCCACAGAAGGGGAUACAGAAAUCUGCAUUCAGAGCAGCCGCUCCUGCACCCGACCCGACCUGCGGAGUUUGUGGGCAAAUAAACCACAGGGUGUCUGAGAUCCCACUGGCCUUUGUAGUAAACGGUGAAGCCCUCGCAGUGGAAUAGAACUACUGCUACAUGGGAGAUGGCUCUGUGGAAUUUUUAUAAUUGGGUAAAUGUGCCGAUUGUUCAGUCCCGUAUCUGGUCAUCUCUGGAGAUGGAUAACAUAAGAAUAGUUACGAACAAAUAGAUUCUGUCCCCGCACCAAAACUUUCUGUUUUCUGUCAGGGCCUGAAGGCUUGGCUUCUGUGGACAUCAAUGGAUUAGGAUCAGAUACUAAAAAUACAGCUGAAGAACUGAGAGCGACCAUUCGAUGGACUGAGUUGUUUAGCUUACUUCCCAGCAAGCGUAAGAAUAGAUCUCAGUUUUCCUGCCUGGAGACUGCAGCCUCUGACAGGCCCGGAGAUGUUAAGUGAGAAUAUAGUUUUCCAUGGCUGAAAACCUGAAUCAAGAAAGGAGAAAGCUGGUUCUCCUUCACUGCAGCCUCCAGGUGUCAAUUUGCUGGGUGAAACCCGCUCAGCUCCGGCGGGAUUCCUGGUGGGAGCACCGCAGGGAGCAGCGCCGUGGGGAGCAGCGCCGUGGGGAGCAGCAUCGCGGGAGCAGCAUCACAGGGAGCAGCAUCGUGGGAGCAGCAUCGUGGGAGCAGCAUCACGGGGAGCAGCAUCGCGGGGAGCAGCGUCGUGGGAGCAGCAUCACAGGGAGCAGCAUCGCGGGGAGCAGCGUCGUGGGAGCAGCGCUGUGUGGAGCAGCAUCGUGGGAGCAGCAUCAUGGGGAGCAGCAUCGCGGGAGCAGCAUCGUGGGAGCAGCAUCACAGGGAGGAGCAUCACAGGGAGCAGCAUCACGGGGAGCAGCAUCGUGGGAGCAGUGCCACGGGGAGCAGCAUCGCGGGGAGCAGCGUCGUGGGAGCAGUGCUGUGUGGAGCAGCACCACGGGAGCAGCGGUGCCCUGGCGAUGGCCGGGACCCUGUGGCCGAGGCACAGGAGAGCCAUCCGCGGCACACCGGGUGCUGCGGGCCGCGAGCCCUCGCCGUGAGCCUGACACAGCUGGGUGCAACCGCGUGGGGCUGACGAAAGAGAGGGAAGAGCCCUGGAACAAAGGGUCUUUCAGGCCACCGAAUGCAGGGGAGAUCCAAGGGGACAAAUCCGCUUUACAGGCAUAGCUUAGAUUGUGAGAUAUGCUUGCAAAGCCAAUUUGUUUUGUUUUAUAGACUUGAAAGAUUCUAAGUCAGGGCUCCCUGUAUGGUUUGAAUUAGGUUUGGAUAGUGGUAUUCUGGGAAGCUGGAUUGGGAGACAUUUUCACGUGGGGGCUCGUAGUUGAGUCGGGGCCCUCUAGCACUUCCGCAAUGCUUUCAGAUAAAGUAGCCCAUGUAUGCCCCAAAACAAGGACUUUUGCCAUGGUUAAGAAAAUGGUGAAUACCUUAAAAUGGAGGUAUUCAUCUGGUAUCAGGUGUUUAGGAAUAUGGUUCCACACAUGCAUUGGCAGGGAAAGUGGGAAUUUCAAAAGGGURCUACUUUUAAAAAAGAGAAGGUAGCUCUUAGUAGCACCAGAACGGAUUUCUUUUUCUACCAGCUUGUAUCUCUGCUAUUGAAAAGGUCAUCAGCCUUUUUGCCUGUGACUAUGCAAAAUACAAAAGCUGUAGUGAGCUGCCGUGUAAAAGCAUAGCGGUGACAAAGCUUUGGCAGACGGACUCCGCGGUCUGCCAGGGGAGGCUCUCCCCCCCGGCCGUGGUGCAAAGCGCAGUUACUUUAUCAUACGUUUCCGAGGGACCCCGUUUCGGCCGCUUCUCUCUCUGCAGCACAGUCGUUGGAGCCAGUUCGUGGACACGAAGCGACGGCGCAGCGCGCCGGGGCUGCGGCUGUCGGAGGGGGACGGGGUCUCCCGCGGUGCCAGGCCCUGGCUGCCCCGCGCAGCCAGACGAGGGACGGGAGUACGGGGCCGCACGGCGCUCGCGGCCGGGGGAAGCAGCCGGGCCAGCACCRGGACCCCCGGCGGCACCCCAGCCCGCCGGCACCGGGACGCUUCGGGCAGCCUUGGGCAGCGCAGGCCGUGCCCUGAAAGCCCACRGGCGUGCGGCGAGCGCUGCGGCCGCGGGACAGACCCCGCUCCCGCUGCCGCCACCGGGACCGUUCCCCGGGAAGGAGCACAAUCUUUGUUGAGUCAUUAAAGCAGAAAAAUAGAGAUGGAAUCUUAGGAAAUGCUUGAAAAGAUUAGGUGAUCUUAGCUCUAAGGAGCUAAACAAAUGCAAAGCAAUCCCCCCCCCAGCCCCUCGUGCUGCUGGAGAAUGUAAUCUCAUUUCUAAACACACAAUUAGAGAAAAUAAAAAGAAAAGAAAAGAAUAAUUAAUUUCUGCU
rnacentral:lncRNA from 1 species